rnacentral:lncRNA from 12 species
AGUGAGAAGGGAUCCUAAAGACUGAAAGAGGUUGGAAUUUACACAAAUUAACCUCUAAUUGCAGUCACUGGGUUCAGGGAAGGAAAGGGAGUGGGGGAGAUGGAGAUGACUGGAGAGGGAAGGGAAGGGAAGUUUCAGGGAAGGGAAGGGAAGGGAAGGGAAGAGGGAAGUUUCAGGGAAGUUUCAGGGAAGUUUCAGGGAAGUUUCAGGGAAGUUUCAGGGAAGUUUCAGGGAAGUUUCAGGGAAGUUUCAGGGAAGUUUCAGGGAAGUUUCAGGGAAGUUUCAGGGAAGUUUCAGGGAAGUUUCAGGGAAGUUUCAGGGAAGUUUCAGGGAAGUUUCAGGGAAGUUUCAGGGAAGUUUCAGGGAAGUUUCAGGGAAGUUUCAGGGAAGUUUCAGGGAAGUUUCAGGGAAGUUUCAGGGAAGUUUCAGGGAAGGGAAGUUUCAGGGAAGUUUCAGGGAAGUUUCAGGGAAGUUUCAGGGAAGUUUCAGGGAAGUUUCAGGGAAGGGAAGGGAAGGGAAGGGAAGGGAAGGGAAAUGUCAUAGUUUGACGUGCAGAAAACCUAAGAGCGUGGUGAUGCGAGCUGGCAAGUCUAUUUGUUUGAGCUGGAAGAGGACAGCCAGGAUUUACAGUGUACUGGCCCAAGAGUGGCAGGGUGUUGCUGGGGGGGGGGGGGGGGUUGUUGCUGCCUCUCGUGUCCUGCCACUCUGGAGCCAAAAGCAGAAUGCCCCUCCUCCUCUGAGCAGCCAUGCAGGAUGCACCAUGCUGGAUGUGAGCUGGCACACACCAUCCCUGCACCCAGUGUGACCAGCUCAUAACCUGCU